AUUGAACGCUGGCGGCAGGCCUAACACAUGCAAGUCGAACGAGUGGCGGACGGGUGAGUAAUGUCUGGGCACCUGCCUGAUGGAGGGGGAUCACAACUGGACACGGUAGCUACUACCGCAUACCAUCAGCCGUGCCCAGAUGGGAUUUGCGAGUUGGUGGGGUAAAGGCUCACCAAGGCGACGAACCCUAGCUGGUCUGAGAGGAUGACCAGCCACACUGGAACUGAGACACGGUCCAUACUCCUACGUGAGGCAGCAGGGGGGAAUAUUGCACAAGGGGCGCAAGCCUGAUGCAGCCAUGCCGCGUGUAUGAAGAAGGCCUUCGGGUUGUAAAGUACUUUCAGCGGGGAGGCGUUACCCGCAGAAGAAGCACCGGCUAACUCCGUGCCAGCAGCCGCGGUAAUUC
rnacentral:rRNA from 1 species